GGGUUCAUUUGACAAAAUUUGUAAUUUAUUAUUGUUUUUCUGUCAAUUUUCCAAUUAGGGCUCCAUUCGAGUGCGAAUUAAGCUCGCUGUUUCUCCCGCCAACGGAAGCGCUUCCCAAUUCUGCAGUUCAUAGCACUCAUAUAAUCUUAAUCUUUCAACUGUUCAAUUCCCCUUUAUCUUUUACCCUCAUUUCUUUCGAUUUCGAAGCUUCUUGAAGAGGAAAACGAUCGGAACCGGCACCGGCACUGGCAACGGAGCUUCAGUAGAUUCAUUCUACAGAUGGCUUAUUGUCUAAAACAACUGAAGCUGUUCUUCUACAUAUCAUCAUAGGGCCCCAAUUGGUAGAAGAAAACCCGCAACCCCUUGGGGUUGAUUUGUGAACAGUGGUUUCAAGUGUACAAAAAUGAAAACAGAGGAGUUGUUUUGAUUGAAAACAGUUUCCAAGUAGCAAGUCCUUAGCCUUUCGGCCACUUUGUGCUUCCAAUAAGAGAUGCCAGGAAUACUGAAGUUUGAAUAAAACUUAUCUUUCCGGUCAA